rnacentral:misc_RNA from 1 species
GCCUUCCAAAUUUUGAUAGCUCAGUAACUUUAGCUCUCUGCUGACCUGGAUAACCAGUAAAGAUAACAAGGCCAUCCAUAGAUACCCGUGCAAGGUCUAGAAGAGUCUUGUUGAGGUAUUUUGGAGACAAAUAAUCCAAUGCAUCUGACACUAUGACGAGUGAAAAUGAAUUUGGCCUGUAAGGUAGAGGAAAUUUGAUAUCGGCAGCACGCACAAUGCCCUUGUGCACAAGGCUCUUGCAGCUUAUAUCAG